UACAGAGGUCUCGAGCGUUGUUCGGAUUCAUUGGGCGUAAAGGGUGCGUAGGUGGCGCUGUAAGUCGGGUGUGAAAUCCUGGGGCUUAACCCCGGAACUGCAUUCGAUACUGCAGUGCUUGAGGACUGGAGAGGAGACUGGAAUUCAUGGUGUAGCAGUGAAAUGCGUAGAGAUCAUGAGGAAGACCAGUGGCGAAGGCGGGUCUCUGGACAGUCCUGACACUGAGGCGCGAAGGCUAGGGGAGCAAACGGG
rnacentral:rRNA from 1 species